CACGUAGGCACCAAGCGUUGUCCGGAUUUAUUGGGCGUAAAGAGCUCGUAGGCGGCUUGUCACGUCGGUUGUGAAAGCCCGGGGCUUAACCCCGGGUCUGCAGUCGAUACGGGCAGGCUAGAGUGCGGUAGGGGAGAUCGGAAUUCCUGGUGUAGCGGUGAAAUGCGCAGAUAUCAGGAGGAACACCGGUGGCGAAGGCGGAUCUCUGGGCCAUUACUGACGCUGAGGAGCGAAAGCGUGGGGAGCAAACAGG
rnacentral:rRNA from 1 species